AGUGAACGCUGGCGGUAGGCCUAACACAUGCAAGUCGAACGGCAGCACAGUAAGAGCUUGCUCUUACGGGUGGCGAGUGGCGGACGGGUGAGGAAUACAUCGGAAUCUACUUUUUCGUGGGGGAUAACGUAGGGAAACUUACGCUAAUACCGCAUACGACCUACGGGUGAAAGCAGGGGAUCUUCGGACCUUGCGCGAUUGAAUGAGCCGAUGUCGGAUUAGCUAGUUGGCGGGGUAAAGGCCCACCCAGGCGGCGAUCCGUAGCUGGUCUGAGAGGAUGGUCAGCCACACUGGAAGUGAGACACGGUCCAGAGGCCUACGGGAGGCAGCAGUGGGGAAUAUUGGACAAUGGGCGCAAGCCUGAUCCAGCCAUAGCGCGUGGGUGGAGGAGGCGUUCGGGUUGUAAAGCCGUUUUGUUGGGAAAGAAACGCAGCAGGUUAAUACCCCGCUGUUCUGACGGUACCCAAAGAAUAAGCACCGGCUAACUUCGUG
rnacentral:rRNA from 1 species